GAUGAACGCUGGCGGCGUGCCUAACACAUGCAAGUCGAACGAAGCACUGUAAGCGGAGAUUCGUCGAAGUUUACUUUGACUUAGUGGCGGACGGGUGAGUAAUGUAUGAGCAACCUGCCUUUCAGAGGGGGACAACAGUUGGAAACGACUGCUAAUACCGCAUAAUGUACCGUGGGGGCAUCCUCGUGGUACCAAAGGAGCAAUCCGCUGAAAGAUGGGCUCAUAUCUGAUUAGUUAGUUGGUGGGGUAACGGCUCACCAAGACUGCGAUCAGUAGCCGGACUGAGAGGUUGAACGGCCACAUUGGGACUGAGAUACGGCCCAGACUCCUACGGGAGGCAGCAGUGGGGAAUAUUGGGCAAUGGGCGAAAGCCUGACCCAGCAACGCCGCGUGAA
rnacentral:rRNA from 1 species